ACCUGUCCCCAUUAGUCCCUAAUACACACCGUGAGCCCUUGAGGAAGGCAGGUCAGAGAGCUCCUUAUGUAAUGGCUGCCGUGUGCAGACCGGCAGAGGCACAGAGGAACGAGAGAUGUCGAAUCUCACCAGAAGCUUUUGCUUUCUGCCUAUCUAACUGCCUUUCAAGCCACAAAUUAAUUUACUGAGGUAUAUCUUACAGACACCACUUCUCUAGAUGUUAAUGAUGCUCCUGCCUGCCUGCCUAUGUGUGCUGUCAAUGAUAAAGCGUCUCUCUGUGAGGCACUGAGCUGGUGGGCAGUGAAAGCGUCUGGAUCGAUGGCUUCCUCUGCUUUGCUGCCUCCUCUGGUGCUGGACCCAGCAUUCUCUGCUUCAUUUGGCAUCAGAGGGAUUAAAGUCAAGGCUGCUUUCAUUAGUGAUUACAUCUGAAAUAUAUCUGGAAGAAAAAAAUCCUCUAUGUUCAGUCCCAAGAUGUUUAAUGUUCCUGGGAGGCAUCAGUUGGGAUGGUUGCUAAAAACCUACAUUUAAAUAGCUGUAUCAAUUCUGUUCCAUCCUUUGCUCUUAAAUGACUGAAAAGUGGAGGUCAUUAAGAACAGGCUUCUCAGAAGUGCUGAAGAUUCACUAUUUCACUGCCUCUGAAGAGUGAAUCCCCUCUUCCUGCAAAGCCAAAGGAGGCCAUUUUGGAAGAGGACAGGCCAGGGGAGAUUUAGGGCAGCCAGCUGACAGCCAUAUAUUUGGUUGCCAUUGCUUUUUAUGUAACCGCAGAUGUGAAAGCACCCACCUAACUCCUUGUCGGCACUGCAGUGAAUACUCUUUAAUUUCAGAGCAAGUCUAGGCAACUCCUCAUGCUUCUUUGAGGCUCUGAGAAGUAGGUCCCUGAGGAAUUCUGUACAUGCUGAACAACACUGACAGCUGGCUACUACUGUGGUUAGGAUUCAGACAACAUAACUUUGGCUGCAGACAGUGGAGGAGGAUGAAAAUUAUCAGCCAAUAAAAACUGUAGCAAAUACCAGACAAAGUAAUAGAGGAGUUCAGCAUACCUGCCGGCAUUCCAAGGUCAAGCUCUUGUGACUCAGAUUGCUAUUGGAAAACAAAGUUGCAUAGAUGCCUAACAGCCAUGGUAACUGGAAGUUGGACGUAGAGCACAGAAAUUGGUGAGAGUUAUCUAUCUGCAAUGCUGGCUUUGCAUAAGUUGGUAUCAGUUUUGGCAGUGCUGCUUUUCCUCAGAGCUUUAGCUGUAUAUGGUCAAAGCCAGGGUAAUUCAGCUGCGGCUCAUGGAGAUUUAACAGCAGGUACAUAUUUUGAGGAUUCAAUCUAUGCUAAAUGCUUGCCAAGUCAAGGGGUCAGACAAGGCUUUUCCUUGCUGUUCUUCUCCCUGGCAGAUGGUGACUGCUGCAACAUGAAGCAAAGGCAGUGAGGCAGGGGGACUGUCUCUGCUGCCCUCCCAAUAGUUGUUACUGCAGCCAGUGUCCGAGCUCUGAAGAGGAGGAGAAAGACAAAGAUAGCCACACGUGCAGAGGAAGAAGGAGCAACCAGAGGGAAAUACUUCAGCAAUAGUCUGGUGAAAAUGAGGAAGGAACAUGAGAAAAGCCUCACAAGAGGGUUCUCAGGACUCUGACUGGGGUGUUGAUCAGAGAGGCUGAAAUUAGUGCUUGUAAGAAGCCAGAAAAAUCAACUACAGGAGAAAUGAAACUUCUGUAGUUAGCUAGAGAAUAUUCCCCUGCAGAACGUGGACUUGAACAUCUGGACCCAAUAUAUGAAAUAUAAACAAAAUGUGUGAGACUACAUUAUAAAGCAACCACUAAUUUUACUUAAUUUUCCCAUGUAGAAGUCUGAACUUCACUGAAAACUUUCAUGAGGCUUUUGUAGUAUUUGGGUUUCCUUUCCUUUUUUUUUUUUCCCCUUUGCUAUUUUCCCUCUCAAGUCUUAAAAAAAUAGAUUUUUUUUUUUUAAACACCAUAAAGAUUAAAUUUCUGAAAUUAAGUACUUGUAUUAUAAAGCCUUAGAAUUAAUAAGGCCUGCUCAAGCUACUGCUUGACACUCUGUAAUGGUUGUCUGUAACUCUCUUUCUCUUUCCAGCAGGAUGUUCAGAACUAGACAUUCAUUCUAGAGGGGUAUCGUGCCCUGCUAAGAAUUAUGACAGGGAUGGAUGAAAGCUUGGAGACUUCACCGUACACAGGGGAUUUGUCACAUCAUUUGCGUGGUUUUACUUUUGAGGCAUUAUUGGAAAUGCGCUCAAAAACCCAGAAGAUUCUGAGCUUAUUUACUACCCAAGGACUUCAGCACAGACCCUGUCACCAAGACAUUAACAUUCAAUAGGUUUGGAAAAGAAAAUAAAGAGUUUUAUGAAACUGCUUUGUAACGUGCUGCCUACCAGGGUCCAAGGCUCCUUAAGCAGUAGCCAGCUCUAAGGAAGAAAAGUAGAAUUGUGUGACAGAUACUGCAGUGAACUCUGGUCCAUCUGUUUUGUCUCUGCUGUCUUCUGGAAUACAGUUGACAUUAAAUGACAGGAAAUAUUUGUACAUUGGUGAAUGGAAAAACAAAAUAUUGACUGCAAAAAAUGAUGAUUAUAAGUGGCAGCAACAUUAAAAAUAUGAUUUCAGUAUGACAUGAAUUGCAAGCAUUUGAUAAAGAAGGAAUAACAUAUAUUGAUCUCCCUCAUUCCGUGCUAUGAAUGUCACUAAGAUCAAUGAAAGUCACAAACAUACACAAAGGAAACUGUAGCAUGUACCACUAUGGAAUAGCUGCUUCUGUUUUUACUCACACUGUAACUGCAGCAUCAUAACGGUUACAGAUGCACCCAGAAGACAAAACCAUAUUUCAGAUAUUGUAAGUGAUAAAGCCUGAAUUCCUAGCAUCAUUUCACAUUUUUCAUAAGCUAAAGGGACAACUAUUGGAACGAUUUUUGCACCUUUUUUUUUUUUCCUUUCUUAAAAAGCAAUAAACUCCAUACAGUUUAUCAGUACAAGACAUUAACUGUGCUAAUGAAUUCGUUCACUAAAUAAGAGGUACUGGCAGUAUUUUCCUAAACAGCAUCAUACAACGGGUGUGAAAACAAACAAACUGAAAUAUCUUAAAUUGCUUCUGGUUUACUCAAAAUUCACAGGCUUACAGGGACAACAGCAAAGCCAAAAAGCAGCAGCACAUGAGUCCAGCAUCACCAAACUUCUCCUGAUGGCAAGAAUGCACAAAACCAGCAGCACAGGCUUCCCCUUUUACAACAGCCCCCAAAGCUGUGCCCAGCACUGGCAGGAAAAAAGAAAAGCUUUACAGUUACACAGGCACCUUUAUAAUUUUCAUACCUCAAAAUUAUGGCAUUUCCAAUAAAGGCUGCUUUUGAAUCUCCAUUUGCUUUUACAACUCACUUUGUUUCACAGUACUCUCUAUCUCCUACUGUUAAUUCUUGAAAGAAGCCUUUCAAAGAUCAAUCCAGUCUGUUAGGAUUCUGGAUGUUAAAAUUGAUUUUUUCUUGUCUACUUGUUCUUUUGAAAGGCUUAAAAGUGAUUUGCAGCAAUCAGCAUAAAGGAAGUUGAUUGACAGAGUUGAACAAAGUGAUCUAGAGGAGAUUCAUCAGGGGAAAACUGCAUACAUUAGAAACUAAAAGGUGACCACAGUUUUUCUCCAUCUCCUCUUAAAACAAAAUGCAUUCUUUUAGAUGUGAAAAAUCAUCCUAAAAGCUUCUACAAAUAGUCAAUGAAAAGCUUAGAAAAAAAAGUUUUAAAUAAGAGUCUGCAAUGGUAAUCAAACAAAAGAAAGGUUAAAAAGGCAAGCAUUACAACAAGUAACAAACAAAUCCAUUGACCUUAUUCACACACACCUCAGAAUCAUAGCUGCCAAACUUCCCUCAAAUAAAAUACAGGAGAUUUAGCUGAAAUGCCAUUAUAUCUCUUCCUGUGGAAAUUACGGCCUUUUUCCUCCUUGUUGCCUGACUGUUCUUUCCUUCCCAGUUUGCUCUCUCAAAUUGCUUUUCCCUGCCACUCACCUUCCUUUACCUGCAACAAGAGAGCACAGCUGGAGGGUCCUCGCUGCACUCUCUAGUCAGUGGUAGAGAGGGAGAAACAGAAAGGAAAGCCUGUGGCACUUCAAGGGCUGCUCCAUAAGCACCUCCAGCCACAGAUGAGCAGCGGGAAGGCACAAAGAGCCCUCCUGAAGAUACAGUAACUACUGCAUUCCUUAAACAUUUCUAAAAAAUAAUUUUAAAAAGCCCAAAGACAGCUCCUUAAAACUGUCCAACCAACUCUCAAUGGUAAUACAAUGGAGUUAAAUAUUGCGUAUCCCCACCUGACAUUUUCAGUCUUCUGUUCUGAACAUUUUUUUUAACCUAUGGUUAUGUGCACAGUACAAUACGGACAGAAACUAGAAUAGGCAAAGGAUUUGCUUAUUUGGUUUCCUGAUGGUGCGGGAUAAAUUUUUGCGCCACCGCCGCUACUUGCAAGGCCCUUCCUUUAAAUCCCAGACAAGCCUACCACCCAAGUCAAAAUUAUUGACUUUCAUUCAACACUGCAGCUACUUCAGUUCAAGGCUGUUUUAAAUUCAUUUGCAGGUUAUUAACAGGAUAAAGCUUUUAUCUGCCUAAAACUAGAGCAGAACCCCAAAAUAAACGUUUUUGUGACGUUGCUUCAGACUCAUAUCUUUUCAUUUACUUUUUAAGUUUCUCCAGAUUUUCUGGACUUUUCACCAUUCUUCUGAGACUCCAAUUUAUUCUUACCUGCAAAUAUAACUAAUGUGUUAAUCAUCUCGGCUUUCAAAUCAGUUGUGUGAUAAAAAAGCAUGUAAAGUCCCUAACAUUUUAGUCUGCAAAAACCUACUAUGCUUCUGUACUAACAAGUUAAUUUGCAUAUAUCAUCAAAUCACAGAAUGGUUUGGGUUGGAAGGGACCCUAAAGCCCAUCCAGUUCCAACCUCCUGCCAUGGGCAGGGACACCUCCCACCAGACCAGGUUGCCCAAAGCCCCAUCCAGCCUGGCCUUGAACACCUCCAGGGAUGGGGCAUCCACAGCUUCUCUGGGCAGCCUCUUCCAGUGCCUCACCACCCUCUGAGUAAACGAUUUCUCCCUAAUAUCUAAUCUAAAACUACUCUUUCUUAGUUCAAAACCAUUAUCCCUUGUCCUACCACUACAAUCACUACAAAGUCCCUCUCCUGC